AGCUGUCUCCGCGGCCUUCGCGCCUCUCUCAUUCUCCGGCCCCAGUUCCACCGCCGUCCGCCUCAUUCGGCCCGAGGUCCAAGCCGCGCAGCUCUCCGCUGCCGCCGUCCAGCUUCUCCGGCCCCCCUCAGCUCCCUGGCCUGUGCGUCCUACAUACCUCGGUGAUGCUUUGACGCCUCACCAACCAUGGCGGAGGCUGUGGUAGGGCAGGUGGUGGUCAAGCUUGGUGCGGCGCUGGCGAAAGACGCGCUCACGUUUGGCGCAAAACUGCUAUGGAAGGAAGCCUCCGCCCUCAGGGACCUCUUCGGCAAGAUCCGUGACUCCAAGGCAGAGCUGGAGAGCAUGCAGGCCUACCUGCAGGAGGCGGAGCGGUUCAAGGACACUGAUAGGACAACCGCCAUCUUCGUCGGCCAGAUCAGGGGCCUCGCCUUUCAGAUCGAGGACGUCGUCGACGAGUUCACCUACAAGCUGGAGGAGGAGAAGCAUGGGGGCUAUGCCGCCAAGAUGAAGAAGAGGCUGAAGCAUAUCAGGACAUGGCGCCGCCUGGCGGCCAAGCUCCAAGAUAUCCAAGCCAAGCUGCAGGAUGCUAAGCGGAGGAAGAAGGAUUACUCAAUUGACAGAUUUGUUUCUGCGGCCAGAUCGACGAAUCAAGCUCUGCAUUUCACCAGGGAUGAGGACCUUGUGGGGAUUGAGGAGAACAGGGAAAGGCUGAUACGGUGGCUGACCGGCGGAGGCGGUGGUGCUGAUGGUCUGGAGCAGAGGACCAGCAAAGUCACCACGGUGUGUGGGAUGCCUGGUGUUGGCAAGACCACUCUGGUUGCUCAUGUGUACAACACCGUGAAGGUGGAUUUCGACGCCGCUGCAUGGGUAACCGUGUCGCAGAAUUACCGUCUUGAAGACCUGCUGAAGAAGAUCGCCACAGAGUUCGGGGUCGCAGUUGAUAUCGCCAACAUUGAGAUGAGAGGCCUAGCAGAAUCCAUCCAUAACUACCUUCAAGGUAAAAAGUACAUCUUGGUCCUGGAUGAUGUCUGGACUGCACGCGUGUGGACAGAGAUAAGGAAUGUCUUCCCAACAUCUGAUCGUACCGGCCGAUUUGUCAUAACAUCAAGAAAGCAGGAAGUGUCGUUGUUGGCAACUAGGGAGUCUGCAAUUCAGUUGGAACCGCUACAAGAACGUCACUCUUGGUUGUUAUUCUGCCAAGGAGCUUUUUGGAAUGAUGACGACAAAGAGUGCCCGCUGGAGUUGCACAAAUUAGCGGUGAAGUUCAUUGCAAAGUGUCAAGGUUUGCCUAUUGCUCUUGCAUGCAUUGGCCGCCUACUCUCCAGCAAACUCCCAAAUUUUGCCGAAUGGGAGAAUGUGUACAGGGGUUUGGAUUCACAGUUGGUGAAAGACAUGCUCCCUGAUGUUGAUAUGAUUCUAAAGGUCAGCCUGGACGACCUUCCAUAUGAUUUGAAGAAUUGUUUCUUAUACUGUGCAUUAUUCCCAGAAGAUUAUGUAUUAAAGAGGAAGACGAUAAUGAGGCAGUGGAUUGCUGCUGGAUUUAUCAGGGAAAAGGAAGGGAACAGAACCUUGGAGGAAGUGGCCGAGGGAUACUUGGUUGAGCUCGUGAACCGAAGCCUACUGCAGGUAAUGGAGAGCAAUCAUGCCGGAUCACUGAAAUCCUACCGGAUGCAUGAUGUCAUACGCCUGCUUGCCCUCAACAAAGCCAAAGAGGAAUGCUUUGGUGAAGUUUGUAAUGGCUCUGCUGCCGGGGCAUUUUCUGCAGAGUGUGUACGUCGCAUAUUUGUCCAAGGGGAAAACCUUGAGCAGCUGAGACGAUCUGGUGCGACACAUAUCCGUGCGCUCCAUGUAUUUAAAUAUAGCAAUGUUGAUUUGCUGAAGCUUAUCCUAACAUCUUCAAAUUUGCUGUCAACAUUGGAUCUGCAAGGUUCUCGUGUCAAAAUGCUUCCCAAUGAGGUAUUCGACUUGUUUAAUCUGCGUUAUUUGGGACUUAGGGAUACCGAUAUUGAAAGCCUACCUGAAGCAGUGGGGAGGUUACAAAACUUGGAAGUCUUGGAUGCUACCAACGCUAAUCUGACGUAUUUGCCGAACAGUGUUGUAAAACUUCAGAAGUUGAGAUACCUGUAUGCAUAUACUGUUCCUGGUACAUUAGAGUCAUUAGAAAUUUUCAGGGUAGGUGGAGUCAACGUGCCUAAUGGAAUACAGCACUUGGCAGGAUUGCGUGCUCUCGAGUGUGUCAAAGCCACUCCAGUGUUUCUGCGUGAAGUUAGAGCUUUGACAGAGCUAAGAACAUUCACUGUGUGCAAUGUGAGAAGUGAACACUCUGCUGACUUGAGCAAUGCUAUCUCUAAAAUGAGCCAUCUUGUUCAUCUCGGAAUUGCCGCUGCAGCUGAGAAUGAGGUGCUGCGGUUUGAAGGGCUAUAUUUACCUCUAACCCUGUCUUGGCUUGGUUUAGCAGGACAGCUAGAAAAAACAUCGAUGCCAAAGCUUCUCUCUUCUUGGUCACACCUUAAUAGCCUCACUUGCUUGACCCUGGGAUUCUCCAAUAUUGAUGAGGACACAUUUUCCUGUUUGUGCGUGUUACAUGGUCUACGCUCUCUUGGGCUAAUGAAGGCUUUUGAAGGGAAGAGGUUGGACUUUUACGCAGGCUCAUUUCCAAAACUUCAGUUUCUACACAUAUGGGGCGCGGCACAGCUCAACCAAGUUAGAAUAGAGAAGGGCGCAAUGCAAAACCUCGUCGUGCUAUUGUUCAUGUACUGUCCCGAGUUGAAGUUUCUUCCAGAUGGUAUCGAAUAUCUUAGGGCCCUUGAAAAAUUACGUCUGGAGGACACAUCAGAAGAAUUGAUUGAGAAACUCCGGCGACAGAGAGAUUCAGAUGAAUGCAAUGAAGAUAUAAUGAAGAUUAGCCACAUAAGGAAUGUUACAGUUGAACUGACUCGGAAAGGACUGUUUGAAAGGAUUAGGUGAUCAUCCCUGCUCCAAGGUUCUGCUCUGUUAUGCAACAAUGCCGGUUCCAUCAUCUUCUCAUGGGAUUCUCAACACAGAAUUCAACAGUUUCAAGGCAAAAGGGCACUUUUCGGUACUUUGGAGGAGUUCCUAACAUAUCUCCUCCUGUGUUAAGGCUUUGAUGGGGCGAGAAGAAUUUAAUCCCAGCAGCCUGUCAGGUGUUUGCACUUGUUGCAUCUGUUUCUCGAUGAGUUGUUAAAUCUGGGCUAUUCCUGUUUCUGAUAAAUACGACAUCAGCUGUGGGUCUGAAAGGAAAAUACAUAUUUCCAUGCAUGACUCUGGCGAUUUCUUAAUUAGCUGCAAAGAAGAAAAAGAAUAAUAAGUUUGCAUACUUGGCUGUGCGCAAUCCCCAAGGGGAGAACAGAACAUGAGAGGCUCUCGAUGGUGCCAAUGCGUGUGUCUCAUUCCACAUUUCAUCGUGUGAAAUGAGUAUUCCGCUCAUCAGCUAGUUGAGGUUUCCGUUGCCUACCUGCUUCCUUUGGCAUGGUGAAAUUUGAUCGUGAGAGCAUGCAAAUGUGCUGCUAAAAACUCAAUCUGGAAUUCACGACGUUGCUGUUAUUAAUGACUAUUCAAUUUCGUUAUGAAAUGGGGAAGCUGAGCUAUGUUUCUGUUAUCGGAAAACUUGUCUUAUUCGUCUCAUCGGAAGUUGAAUAUAUGGCAAUCUUUAUUGGAGCUGCAGGUUGGAUUUCCAGUACCCGAGGACCUUGCCUUUGAAGAUGGUCUGAUGGAUGCUAAUGAUCUGGUACGUAGUACUACUAUUACCCCUGAUUCCUGCUUUGGCAAGAUGUAAGCACCGUUGGCAAAAGAACAUCGGAAGGGCUAGGGCGAAAAACGCAGGCACCAAUGGAGAGGCUUUUGCAGAGGAGCUUCACUGGCAGGACUCCAAGAGAAGUUCAUGUGUGAAAUACUACAGAAAUAUCAGUAAGUUCCUUCCUUGGAUAUGCAGCAAACAAACAUUUCAGGCAAGCUGGGUACUAAUUGCUGUAGAGCAACAUCAAAGUAUAGAGGACCAAAUUGAGAUUUUCAGACUCAAGAGUUGAACUCCAGUACAUAGGGGAUCCAGGAAUGAUCAUAACCUGGAGACAUAGAGAGAGCUUGAGCUGCUACUUGACCAGCGGCAGGAGGUGCCCUCUCUCUCAUUCAGACUUCAGAGGGCCCAGCGCCAGCUACACAUCCCCGUCGACCGUCGUACCGGCCCAAGGUCAAGAGACGCAGCGCGCACCUGAUUCCGGUGGCCACCACCGUGGCCGUUGGAGAAGUGGCACUAGGUUAGGUGCAGCCGGAGCAGGCCAACCAAGACUCCUCCCGGAGAGGCGCAUCCAUCGAACGCACGGAGUUGUCUGGCGGCGGCAGCGUACGAGGAGCGGUGGUGGUGGUGGCGGAGAGGUGUCACCGUCGGGGGGAUCUCGGGUCUCCUGGAGUGAACAACGAAGAAAUAGUCGUGUUCUGGACUGAAUUAGGACUUCCAAGGCUGUUUUUUCCCUGCAGAACAAGGAACAGAAGUUAACAUCUGACGAUUUUAUAUUGGCUUUGCCAAGUGAACAAUCAAUCAGGCGACAGACUCUACAAAUAUUCCGUGGGUUCAUCAGGCAAAGUUCAGAAAUUUCAGAGAAACGACUUCAGAUUCAGACUCAGAGUUGAAUGUAGGCUGGAGAUUCAGGAUCAUAGCCAGAUAGCCUCCACAGCAAUCAAUCCCGGCAUCGCAAGCUUCGGCAAAGAUAGUAUGGCAUUUCAGACAGUCGUCCUUGUGGUGCAAGUAGGAAUGCUCAGCUCAAGAAGACGGCGAGGCAUGGGAUGCUGUCAAAAUGAGGCGUAUAUGUGCUUAUGUGUUCACCAGGCGACCAUUCAAAGGUCGCUAGAAUACGGGACAAUCUCUAUUAUGGAGGGCUCUAGUCGAUCAACACAUCCAGACUGCGUAUUAAUAGACACGUCAAUAACCAUUGUACCAUUGGUAGCAUCUCAAGAGCCUAGAAACUUGUACAUUGUAAUCUCAACUGUUUUCUCUAGCUUUCCUUUUGUUGGGAUUCGCCCACAGGAUCGAUUACAUCAAAUCACGAUGAACACGCACACAAAAACUUUUACCAAAGGCACGUGUCGUGUCUUUUU